rnacentral:rRNA from 1 species
GACGAACGCUGGCGGCGUGCUUAACACAUGCAAGUCGAACGGAAAGGCCCCUUUGGGGGUACUCGAGUGGCGAACGGGUGAGUAACACGUGAGUAACCUGCCCUUGACUUCGGGAUAACUUCAGGAAACUGGGGCUAAUACCGGAUAGGAAUCCUUGCUGCAUGGUGGGGGUUGGAAAGCUUCGGCGGUUUUGGAUGGACUCGCGGCUUAUCAGCUUGUUGGUGGGGUAGUGGCUUACCAAGGCUUUGGCGGGUAGCCGGCCUGAGAGGGCGACCGGCCACAUUGGGACUUAGAUACGGCCCAGGCUCCUACGGGGGGCAGCAGGGGGGAAUAUUGCACCAUGGGCAGAAGCCUGAUGCAGCAACGCCGCGUGCGGGAUGACGGCCUUCGGGUUGUAAACCGCUUUCAGCAGGGGCGAAGCUUGUGGUGACGGUACCUGCAGAAGAAGCACCGGCUAACUACGUG